GGUUUAGAAAAGGAGAGGGCUAGCAGCUUCUGCCACCUUCAUGAGGUCGUCACCCCCACACCCCCCUUAAAGUGCCCUAGAUGUCCCAGUUCAGCCGUAGCAGGAGAGGGCUUCACCCCAGGUGGUUUCUUCUCACUGGUCCCAAUGGGCCAGCAGAAGAACUGCCGGUCGCUUCCCUGUUCGGGCUGGCCCGUUCUCAAAGCUGGCCAGGGUCUGCACCAGACCUCCGCAGGCAGAAGAGACCCUGCCUGGGCCCAGAGGACACAGUGGGAUCUGGAAAGCUUUUGGAGCAGCAGCAGUCUGGAUGGAAGUGCUGAGAGGAGAAUGGGGCUCAUUGGAGUGGAGGGAGCUCACUGGGGAGGCUUGAAGUGCUGCUUGCAGAAUUGGGGGAUGUUGUCACAAGCUUUGGCUCUGGCUCCUGUCUCAGUAGCAGUGGAGACGUUAGCAUCUUCCUGCAGCCCUGAGAAGAACGCUGCCCGGAGCCAGCAGCUCUUCCUGCCAGGUAGGCACUGCCAGGGGCACCUGCCCUGGUCCUGCAAUCUUUUGUCUUCUCCUCCCUGGAGGCUGCUGGUCCUGUAUUCAUGUGGUCUCCAGGACACUCUUGAGUGCCCUCGGCUGUGGCUGCUGGCAGGCACUCGUUGUCCUGGUACUCUUCCAGGAAGAGCAGGGGCAGGGCUUAGUGGUGGCUCUCAGGGUGUCUGGGAUGCUCAGGUCAAAGGCUGGGCAUUGCCAGCCUCAGAAGGAGGGCAGGCUUUGCUGUGCUUCCAGACGAGGCUGUGGCAGAUUCAUGGCUUCUUUUGAGAGAUGAGGCCAAGUUUGGCCCUGUCUUGCCCUCUGUGGCUGCUGAUCCUGCCAGGCUGGGCUCCCAGAGGCUCCCUCUUGCUCUGGAGGGACUGGCAGGGCUGCCAGAGUUCCUGGGUAACCUGUAAUCUGUGUCUUGCCUGUUCUUGACUGAGGCAGACUCCAGCCCCAGGAAGAGUAGGGCUUCUGGCUCAGCUUUGCCAGCCAAAAGGAAGGUCCCAGGGGAGUCUCUCAUUAACCCUGGUUUCAAAAGCAAGAAGGCGCCAUCUGGAGUGAAUUUCGAGGACUCCUGAUGGAUGUGCCCUGAUGACAGCCCUUUGGACCCCUGUGUCUAAACGAAUAGGUCUCCCUGUUGUUCCAGACCUGCUGAGCUCCUCGACCUAGGCAGAUAACAGAGGCAGCAGUACCUGGCAGCCACCCCUCAGUUGGGGUGGUGGCAGGGUCCUUGGGGGAGACAGAUGGAGCAGAGGGGACACCAGCAUUGUGAGUUUUUCUCCUGCAGCUCUUCUCUGCUGGCAGGGACCAGCUCCUGACCUCACUUACCAUGAACUGGUGGAGUUUUGGAUGGAGCUUUGAUACUAUGGAAUGGAAAGGUCACCUGUGCUUUGCUUCUGACCAGUAAAGGUGUUUUUAGCUACCUGA